rnacentral:snRNA from 1 species
GGACGUAAGGGUGACCUGGCCAUGACAUCUGCCACUCUACUGAUUGCCAGGGUUAACUAGCUGACCUGGCGGGCUUUAUGAUGUCCUCCUCUGUGUCACUGCUCGACAACUGUCCUUCCCAAAUCUGUGUGCUCAGGUGUACCCUCACCAGCUGAGGGCCCUUCUUUAAUUGAGCGCAUGCAGAUACUGCUCCCUGAGGAAGCCUCCUCACAAGCUCUCGGGGUGGGGUGGGGGGGGGGAGGGGAUAGGGGACUUUUGGGAUAGCAUUUGAAAUGUAAAUGAAGAAAAUAUC